rnacentral:rRNA from 1 species
GAUUUCUGGUAUGUCGUGUCUGUCCCGCCUCGGUUUACGGGGUUUGUGUGACGGUUUGCACUGUCUACCAUCGUUGUGUGUCUGGUUGCUCGUCGCAAGAUGGGUAGCUAUUUAUAAAGGACACACAUCUUUUACUUUGAAAAAAUUAGAGUGUUUCAAGCAGGCGUUUUUAGCUAUGAAUACAUUAGCAUGGAAUAAUAAUUUAGGACUUCGGUUCUAUUUUGUUGGUUUCUAGGACUGAAGUAAUGAUUGAUAGGGAUAGUUGGGGGUGCUAGUAUUCAGCGGCCAGAGGUGAAAUUCUUGGAUUCGCUGAAGACUAACUUAUGCGAAAGCAUU